rnacentral:rRNA from 1 species
AUUGAACGCUGGCGGCAUGCUUUACACAUGCAAGUCGAACGGUAACAGGGUGCUUGCACCGCUGACGAGUGGCGAACGGGUGAGUAAUGCGUCGGGGCGUGCCGAGUAGUGGGGGAUAACGCAGCGAAAGUUGUGCUAAUACCGCAUACGUACUGAGGUAGAAAGUGGGGGACCUUCGGGCCUCACGCUAUUCGAGCGGCCGACGUCUGAUUAGCUAGUAGGUGAGGUAAAGGCUCACCUAGGCGACGAUCAGUAGCGGGUCUGAGAGGAUGAUCCACCACACUGGGACUGAGACACGGCCCGGGCUCCUACGGGAGGCAGCAGUGGGGAAUUUUGGACAAUGGGCGAAAGCCUGAUCCAGCCAUGCCGCGUGUCUGAAGAAGGCCUUCGGGUUGUAAAGGACUUUUGUCAGGGAGGAAAUCCCUAGUGCUAAUAACACUGGGGGAUGACAGUACCUGAAGAGUAAGCACCGGCUAACUACGUGCCAGCCGCCGCAGUAA